UGUGAUGAAGGUUAUAGAAUUAAGUUAUGACCAUUUACCUCUUCAACUGAAGCCCUUCUUUCUCCACCUUGCAAGUUAUCCGAAGGACACAGCAGUGGAUAGAGAUAUUUUGAAAACGUAUUGGCGUGCUGAAGGACUUGUUGAACAAACAGAGAUGAAGAGUGUGGAAGAAGUGAUGGAAAUUUAUUUGGAUAAUUUAAUUUCUAGCAGCUUGGUAAUUGCUUUCAAUAAGAUAGGUCGUCGCCCGACUUGCCAACUUCAUGAUCUUGUGCACGACUUUUGUUUGAUAAAAGCAACAGAGGAAAAGUUGUUUGGCACGAUAAGUUCAAGUGAUCCAUCUUCUCCUUCAGAUUUGGUGCCACGUAUAGUGACCAUUGAUUAUGAUGAGGAGAGCUUUGGGCAUAACAAUUUCGUGUUGUUCAGUUCAAUAAAGAAAAGGCAUUGUGAUAAACACCUCUAUUCUUUGACGAUAGCUGGACACGAUAUGGUCGACAGUCUUUGUGAUGCAUGUCACAUAAGAGACUUGAGGCUUCUUAGAGUGUUGCACCUGCAUCCCUCUUUUAUGAUAGUGAAAGAUUCUUUUCUGAAUGAAAUAGGCAUAUUGAAUCAUUUGAGGUUCUUAUUAAUUGGGACAAAAGUUAAAUCUCUGUCUUCAUCUUUCUCAAAUCUGUGGAAUCUAGAAACCUUGAUGGUUGAUAACAAAGGAUCAACCUUCGUACUAUUACCGAGUAUUUGGGAUCUUGUAAAGUUGCGAGUGAUGAUAAAGGAUGUUUGUUCUUUCUUUGAUAUGGAUACAGAUGAAUAGCGGAGGACUCAAAGUUAGAGAACGUGAGAGAAUUAGGGAAACUCGUGCUUUCCUAUUCAAAAGAAACCGAGGAUAUUUUCAAAAGGUUUCCCAAUCUUCAAAAACUUUCAUUUGUUCUCAAGGAAUCAUGGGAUUAUUCAACAGAGCAAUAUUGGUUCCCGAAAUUGGAUUUCCUAACUGAACUAGAAUUCCUCAAAGUUGACUUUGAAAGUUCAAAAGCAAAUGACAGUGGGCCCUCUUCAGCGAAAAAUUGGUCAUGGGAUUUUCACUUCCUUUCCGAUUUGAAAAUAUUGAAGUUGUUUGACUUUCCUCCGACAUCAGAUUCACUAUCAACAAUAGCGACACUGCCCAACAUUGAAGAGUUGUUCCUUAGGAGAACAAUCAUCCAGAAGGAAAGAAGGAAGAAUGGAACAUGGGGGAGGAAGAAGCCUUUGAGAAUCUCAAAUAUUUGGAGUUGGAUGAAGUGACUCUUGCUAAUUGGGAGGUUGGAGAGGAAUCCUUUCCCAUGAUUGAGAAAUUACUAUUGUUGAGAUGUCGUAAGCUUACAGAGAUUCCGCCUAAUUUUGGGGAUAUUGGUUCAUUGAAAAUUAUCCAACUUGUAGAGAGCCCUCAACUUGAAGAUUCAGCUCUGGAGAUUAAACAAUAUGUUGAAGAUAUCACGGGAGAAGAUAGGCUUCAGAUCCUUGGCCCGAAUAAUAUACCGUUAUCCAAAACAGAUCCUGAGAACUUGAAAGGAAGGGAAGGAGAAGUUACUUUGGUAGAAUGAGUAAAAUGGAGGAGAAAUAAAGGAGGAGGAAACAAACAACUCAUCGUUCACAUAUCCUAGUAGGCGUGCUGCUGCUAUGCCAGCACUGCGAGUUUGCUGCUACCAAACGCCAGCGACUUCAACUGUAAGUCUCUCUUUGAAACAUACAUGGGAUUGCUGACUCUGAUAUGAUGAGAAAGAAGGAAGUCAAACAGAAGGCCCACCAUGUCUAUCGGCCUCCUUCACUGAUGAGCACGCUUCUCAUGUUCUUUUGUCAAGAAUCCUCAAGGCCUCCAUUGUUUAUUCUCGCAACUUGAUUCCAUUUGAAUCUUUCUGGGGUGGCACCUUUAAGUCCAUUAAAUAUAGGAUUGAUGAGCUUGACGAAGAGAAGUCUGUUAUCUAGCUGCUACUCAAUUAGAAAUGAAAGCAACUUUUACUCAGAUACACAUCAUAGAAACUAUCACCUAAGCGGGAUUGCAUCACAAUGUCUAAUGCAGGAAGGUUCAGAUGGAGAUGAAGAAUCUAUUGCUCGGAGUUAUUCAAAUGUGGUUUAGAGCAGCGUGGAUACGCCCUAGCAUCUACUUAAAUCAUCCAAGAGGAAUCCGUUUUAUGUCGAAUAAUACGUGGAGGAAUUCUCGAUAUACCAGUAAAAGCAAUUACGUGCAUGAAUGAACUUUGGAAAGGAUAAUUUUCGUUUUGAAUUUUGUUCAUUGAUAGACUUUUUUUAGCAGCAAAGUGAUACAGAUAUAUUGGUUCAUGCUUUUGCUUUUGUUACAAUGGAUUCAAAUUAGUGUAGGAGUUGUUACUACAACCUCAAGUUAAUACGAUAGUAAUCGAGUUCCUGAUCA